AUUGAACGCUGGCGGAAUGCUUUACACAUGCAAGUCGAACGGACUGAUGGAGCUUGCUUCAUCAGUUAGUGGCGAACGGGUGAGUAAUAUAUCGGAACGUAUCCAAUAAUGGGGGAUAACUAAUCGAAAGGUUGGCUAAUACCGCAUACGCCCUGAGGGGGAAAGCUGGGGACCGCAAGGCCUGGCGUUGAUGGAGCGGCCGAUAUCUGAUUAGCUAGUUGGUGGGGUAAAGGCCCACCAAGGCGACGAUCAGUAGCUGGUCUGAGAGGACGACCAGCCACACUGGAACUGAGACACGGUCCAGACUCCUACGGGAGGCAGCAGUGGGGAAUUUUGGACAAUGGGGGCAACCCUGAUCCAGCCAUUCCGCGUGAGUGAAGAAGGCCUUCGGGUUGUAAAGCUCUUUCGCAAGGGAAGAAAACUUACUCAAUAACACUGGGUGAGGCUGACGGUACCUUGAUAAGAAGCACCGGCUAACUACGUGCCAGCCGCCGCCGUAACAC
rnacentral:rRNA from 1 species